AUUGAACGCUGGCGGCAGGCCUAACACAUGCAAGUCGAACGAGCGGCGGACGGGUGAGUAAUGUAUGGGAAACUGCCCGAUGGAGGGGGAUAACUACUGGAAACGGUAGCUAAUACCGCAUACUAUCGGAUGUACCCAGAUGGGAUUAGCUAGUAGGUGGGGUAAAGGCUCACCUAGGCGACGAUCUCUAGCUGGUCUGAGAGGAUGACCAGCCACACUGGGACGGAGACACGGUCCAGACUCCUACGGGAGGCAGCAGUGGGGAAUAUUGCACAAUGGGCGCAAGCCUGAUGCAGCCAUGCCGCGUGUAUGAAGAAGGCCUUAGGGUUGUAAAGUACUUUCAGCGGGGAGGCGUUACCCGCAGAAGAAGCACCGGCUAACUCCGUGCCAGCAGCCGCGGUAAUAC
rnacentral:rRNA from 1 species